GUGAAUUUUAGGGUGCCCUCUCGCCUAACUCCUUUAACUGGGUUGGCGUCAGAGGGGCCUGACCUCCACUUUCUACCCUGUGCACUAUUUCUAAAGGCGUUCAGAUUGAUGUUUGAAAGAACGUCGGUCUGAAACCUUUUCAAUUCAUAAACACGAGUCAAAGAAUGUAUUAUAAAAUCAUAACAAAAA
rnacentral:misc_RNA from 1 species